AUCCAGAUGACGAGUCUCAAAUUGGACGAAACACGCGUCCUGGAU
rnacentral:hammerhead_ribozyme from 1 species